AACGAACGCUGGCGGCAUGCCUAACACAUGCAAGUCGAACGAGACCUUCGGGGCUUGCGGCGCACGGGUGCGUAACGCGUGGGAACCUGCCCUUAGGUUCGGAAUAACUCCCCGAAAGGGGUGCUAAUACCGGAUAAUGUCUUCGGACAAAUGAUUUCUCGCCUUUGGAUGGGCCCGCGUUUGAUUAGCUAGUUGGUAGGGUAACAGCCUACCAAGGCGACGAUCCAUUGCUGGUCUGGGAGGAUGACCAGCCAAACUGGGACUGAGACACGGCCCAGACUCCUACGGGAGGCAGCAGUAGGGAACAUUGGACACUGGGCGGAAGCCUGAUCCAGCCGUGCCGCGUGAGUGAUGAAGGCCUUAGGGUUGUAAAGCUCUUUUACCCGGGAUGAUAAUGACAGUACCGGGAGAAUAAGCACCGGCUAACUACGUG
rnacentral:rRNA from 1 species